GACGAACGCUGGCGGCGUGCUUAACACAUGCAAGUCGAACGGUGAAGCGCCUUCCUUUUUGGUGGGUGUGGAUGAGUGGCGAACGGGUGAGUAACACGUGAGUAACCUGCCCCCUUCUUCUGGAUAACCGCAUGAAAGUGUGGCUAAUACGGGAUAUUCUGGGUCUGUCGCAUGAUGGGUCUGGGAAAGAUAUUGUUUCGGUGGGGGAUGGGCUCGCGGCCUAUCAGCUUGUUGGUGGGGUGAUGGCCUGCCAAGGCGGUGACGGGUUGCCGGCCUGAGAGGGUGGACGGCCCCACUGGGGCUGCGACGCGGCGCAGACUCCUACGGGAGGCAGCAGUGGGUAAUAUUGCACAAUGGGCGCAAGCCUGAUGCAGCGACGCCGCGUGAGGGAUGGAGGCCUUCGGGUUGUGAACCUCUUUCGCCAGUGAAGCAGGCCUGCCUCGUUUGUGGGUGGGUUGACGGUAGCUGGAUAAGAAGCGCCGGCUAACUACGUG
rnacentral:rRNA from 1 species